rnacentral:rRNA from 1 species
AAAAGAGAGCAAGGGCGCAUGGUGGAUGCCUAGGCUCACGGAGGCGACGAAGGGCGUGGUAAGCUGCGAAAAGCCCCGGUAAGGCGCAAACGGCCUUUGACCCGGGGAUCCCCGAAUGGGACAACCCGGCCGCCUGAAGGGCGGUCACCAUGACGAAUGUCAUGGGGCGAACGCGGGGAACUGAAACAUCUUAGUACCCGCAGGAAGAGAAAACAAAAGUGAUUCCCUUAGUAGUGGCGAGCGAACGGGGAGAAGCCCAAACCGGGCCGGUUUCGGCCGGUCCGGGGUAGUAGGGCCGCGAUAUUGCACGUUGGGAGUCGAGCGGAACCGUCUGGAAAGUCGGGCCGUAGCGGGUGAGAGCCCCGUACGCGAAGUCUCCCGUGGCAUAGCGGACCCCUGAGUAGCGCGGGACACGUGAAAUCCUGCGUGAAUCCGCCGGGACCAUCCGGCAAGGCUAAAUACUCCCGUGAGACCGAUAGUGUACCAGUACCGUGAGGGAAAGGUGAAAAGCACUCCGACGAGGAGGGUGAAAUAGAUCCUGAAACCAUGCGCCUACAAGCGGUCGGAGCAUGAUGAAUCAUGUGACGGCGUGCCUUUUGCAUAAUGAGCCUGCGAGUUGCCGUCACGGGCGAGGUAUGGCGUCUGGAGGCGCCGCGCCGCAGUGAAAGCGAGCCUGAAAAGGGCGUUGAGUCCGUGGAGGCAGACGCGAAACCGAGUGAUCUACACUUGUCCAGGGUGAAGUCCCGGUAACACGGGAUGGAGGCCCGCACCGAUAAGCGUUGAAAAGCUUCCGGAUGAGGUGAGUGUAGGAGUGAAAGGCCAAUCAAACUCGGAGAUAGCUCGUACUCCCCGAAAUGCAUUUAGGUGCAGCGUGCCGUGUUCCGCACGAGAGGUAGAGCGACCGAUAGGACGCGAGGGCUUCACCGCCUAUCAAGUCCUGACGAACUCCGAAUGCUCGUGCGCAGAAGCGGCGCAGUGAGGGGGCGGGUGCUAAGGUCCGUCCCCGAGAGGAGAAGAAUCCGGACCGCCGUCUAAGGUCCCGGAAUCCUGCCUGAGUCAGUCUAACGAAGUGUGACUCCUGAGACAGCCAGGAUGUUGGCUUGGAAGCAGCCAUUCAUUCAAAGAGUGCGUAACAGCUCACUGGUCGAGGGGUCGUGCGUGGAUAAUAAUCGGGUGUAAGGCAGGUACCGAAGGCGCGGGAUAGAAAUACUAAAAGUAUCGGUAGGGGAGCAUUCCAUGUCCGUCGAAUGCGUACGGUGACGUACUCUGGAGGUCAUGGAAAAGCAAAUGCAGGCAUAAGUAACGAUAAGGAGGGUGAGAUUCCCUCCCGCCGGAAGGCCAAGGUUUCCCGGGCAAUGCCAAUCAGCCCGGGGUCAGUCGGGUCCUAAGGCUCAGCCGAGCGGCGAGGUCGAUGGACAAACGGUCAACAUUCCGUUACUGCCAUCAGGAGCGAUGCGGGGACGGAGCAGUGGAACCACCGCGGGGUGACGGAAAUCCCCGUUGAAGGGUGUAGCCGUUGAGGGACGUAGUGAAGUACGCGUUCCGAGGCGAACCUGACAGUACCGCUUUCCCCUCGGGGACGGUGGACAGUGUGGGUAAUCAGACUCCCGAGAAAAUCCGCUAAGCGUUAAUCCUGUAGGCACCCGUACCGUAAACGGACACACGUGGCCAAGUAGAAUAUACUGAGGCGUUGGAAGAUUCAUGGUUAAGGAACUAGGCAAACUGACCCCGUAACUUCGGGAGAAGGGGUCCUCGCGUAGCAGCGAGGCGCAGAGAAUAGGUCCAGGCAACUGUUUACCAAAAACACAGGGCUGUGCGAAAUCGAAAGAUGCAGUAUACAGCCUGACACCUGCCCGGUGCCGGAAGGUUAAGAGGAGUCGUCACCCUUCGGGGGAAGCGUCGAAUUGAAGCCCCGGUAAACGGCGGCCGUAACUAUAACGGUCCUAAGGUAGCGAAAUUCCUUGUCGGGUAAGUUCC